rnacentral:rRNA from 1 species
UACGGAGGAUGCGAGCGUUAUCCGGAUUUAUUGGGUUUAAAGGGUGCGUAGGCGGACGCUUAAGUCAGCGGUAAAAUUGCGGGGCUCAACCUCGUCGAGCCGUUGAAACUGGGUGCCUUGAGUGGGCGAGAAGUACGCGGAAUGCGCGGUGUAGCGGUGAAAUGCAUAGAUAUCACGCAGAACUCCGAUUGCGAAGGCAGCAUACCGGCGCCCUACUGACGCUGAGGCACGAAAGCGUGGGUAUCGAACAGG